UACCAGCACCCCGAGUGGUCGGGACGAUUAUUGGGCCUAAAGCAUCCGUAGCCGGUUCUACAAGUCUUCCGUUAAAUCCACCUGCUCAACAGUUGGGCUGCGGAGGAUACUAUAGAGCUAGGAGGCGGGAGAGGCAAGCGGUACUUAGUGGGUAGGGGUAAAAUCCGUUGAUCCAUUGAAGACCACCAGUGGCGAAGGCGGCUUGCCAGAACGCACUCGACGGUGAGGGAUGAAAGCUGGGGGAGCAAAUCGG
rnacentral:rRNA from 1 species